rnacentral:ncRNA from 1 species
CACAACACAUUGAUGAGGAAUAGUAAGAUCCCCGGAACAUCCAGAAAGCUGCUGGUUGAUGCGAAGCAGUUGGGAAAGGUAUCUGAACUGGCCUCGGAGUGGCACCCUGAAAUCCACGAGAGUAGGCGGCGCCGGUUCCUGACCGUUACCCCAGGAGGAUAUAAGGCCGAGUGCGGUCCGUAUCUGCCAACGAGGCAGCGUUAUGCUGUAAAAUUAGAGUGGUACCACGUAGGAUAAAAUCUUUCGUCUCUAUA